CACUAUGAAAAAUUGAAAAACAGUAGCUCAAAUUCUUCCUUUCUUCUUCAUCAAAUUGAAAGGUUAAUAAUCAGAUGAAUGAGAAGGGAAGGGCAGAAAUUCACCUUUGGCUUUUUGCCGAUGUCGGUGAAAGUGCAUAUCCCUUGCUCAUCUUUACAUAGAAGAGAGAGAGUGUGUGAGAAAUUUUAGGAGGGAUGGAGAGAGAGAUGGACAAAAUCAUAUAGUUUUGCUUGUAAGAGAUCGUAUCCAAUUUUCAUAGAGAUGGAGACGGCUCAAAAUUAGGUUUGGGGUCGAAGCUGUGGUUUUUACAUAAUGAUAGAAAUGGAGUUGUUAUGCGAGAUUAGAAAGAAAAAUGGAAGGUUUUGAAUGUCAUGAAAAAAUGGGAGAGAGAAUUUGAGAGAGAUUAACGGACAAAAGCUUGUCGUUAGGGAUAAAAUCGUAAACUCAAUAUUUGGGCCAUUUUAAUUAGACUAAUUUAGUAUUGGGCUUUAUCCUAACCAUUAAAUAAAAUUAUUACAUGGUUUUUCGUUAAAACUUAAAUUUUUAAAACUCUUUUUAUUAGUUUUCUUUUUUCUAAAAUUAUCUUUACAUAAUGAUGCAAAAAAUUGAAACAAUUUUAUUUAUGACGUUGCUACAUGAAAUGAUUUUCUUUCCAUCGUCUUUCAUUUAUUCAAGAAAAAAAAUAAAGAAAAACUAAUGAAAAUGGCUUGAAAAUUUUGAGUUUUAACGAAAAUGACAAAAUAAAUUGUAAAGUGAAUAGUAUAACAAGAUUAACUUUUUAAUGUAAAAAUAUAAUUUUUCGUUAAAAUUUAUAAAAAAUAAAACAUGCUUCUACAUGAAAAUAAUCCAUGUGUUGACUUCUUAUCAACAUGGCUCUUCACCCGGAUGAAAAGCAAUAAAAAAAUGGUUCGCCAUUGACUAUUUCAAAGCAUCGGGCUUGACCUCUUGUUGAACCCACACGAUACAAUUCAACUGCCUUGUUAUAGUAGCCGUUGGCCAGUUUACAUCUAUGGUAUAAUAUUUGUACAUGGGUAUCUUUUUUAUUAAUUUUUUUAUUCCUCAAAUGUUUAUUAAUUUCAUACAAUUUCCUCUACGAUUCGCAUCAACAUUUCUUUUUAUUUUUGGAUUCAAGGGUUAUACACACAUUUUCAAUUUUAGAUGUCUAUGACUAGUAAUAAAAUAAAAUAAUAACUUCGUUCAUAAUAAUUGGAAAGAAAGAAUAAAAAUUGACUAGCGUGAUCUGAUCAUAUAUGACAAUGUAUAGCAAUAAAGUAAUUCAAAUAAAAUUUCAUUAAGAAUAAUUAGAAAGUAAGUACAAUUUGACUAGUGCGGCCUGACCGUAUCCGAUGAUGUAUAUCAAUAUAGUAAAUAAUUCACCAUAACCAGAUUUUCUUAUCUGCACGUUGGUUCAAAAUUUGACUAGUGCGGCCCAAUCGUAUCCAACAAUGUAUAGCAACACAGUAAAUAAUUCACCAUGAUAAGAUUUUCUUAUCCGCACGUUGGUUUACGCUUCUUCCACUCCUUUCUAUAAAUGCUUAAAAUUGCGAGAUUCGAUUAUUAUUGUCAAGGUUUGUACACUAAGCAAUUAUAUUUGCACAUGUUCCAUUUUUUGUGAAGAAAAGAAAGGCAUGCUUUACAAAAAUGAAUUUUGCCAUCAAGAGGAAUAAUAUUAAGCGAAAAUAAUUUUCAUUUUUGAAAAUCAAAUGAAUAUAAUUUUAAAUCAACGGCUGGGAGAAGAGAUCAAAGAGGUAAAGUUCAAACCGGAGGGUGGUUGAGGGCAAAGGCGCACUCAAAAACGACGCAUCACCCGGGAAACCUCAGCGGUGCGGAAAACACACCAAGCGCGCACAUUAGCAGUCACCAAAAAGAAAAGGAAAAAAGAAAAAAAAAUCCAGAGUAUAUAUAACCCGAACGUUAAAACGCCCUCUCUCGGAGUCUCUCAAUUCGCUCUCAUCGUAUAUAAACUUACGUUUCCCGGCGAGUUGCGAGAGAAAACCAAAACAGUAACAACAAACCCAAUAGAAAAAUUCUCCCUUUUUCCCAGAAAAUCCCGAGAUUUUCCGAGAAAAUCAGAGGAGGCGCGAGAAACAGAGAAGGAGAGCUGUGAUCUGAGAGUGGCUCUCUUUGGUCUGAGUUUCCGAUAAAUGGUGUAUAUAGGCGGGUCGGAGGAGGAAGAGAGAGUGGCGGCGAAGUCCAUGGCGAUGGGUUCCGAGAGGACGAAGGCUCUGCACAAUUUCAACUUGCCGUGGGAUUUGAAGUGGGGGAACCAGAGGCACCUGCGGUGCCAGAAGGAGAGCUCCGAGGCCGGCGGGAGUGGUGGGGAAGGGUCGGAGGCUAAUCGGCGAUCGUCGGCUCAGAGGAUGGAGAGCUCUCCGGCGGUGACUCGGCGGAGGGAUUUGGAGUUCGAGAAGCGGAAGUUUCGGGCCCCGAGGCCGAGGAUCGAAAACGACGACGCGGAGGAAGGGAUCGAUGCGUUUAGGCAGAAGCUCAUGUUUGAUCUCAAGACGGCGGCGGAUAAGAUGAAAGACGCGAUUUUGAGGGAGGAGGAGGUGGCAGUGGCGGGGGCGGCUGCUUAUACUGACGUGGCGGCGGCAGAGGAGGAUGUUGAGAUGGCGGAGGUUGGCGAAUCGGAACCUCCGGUGGCGCCGGAGCCAGAGCCGCCGGAGGCGAGGCCGUGGAAUCUGAGGACGAGGAGGGCGGCUUGCAAGGCUCCAAUGGGCGGCGGCGGCGCUAAGGUGGUGAGAAUCGAGGAAAAGAAGGCGAAUUACUCGCCGUUGAGGAGUGAGGGUAACAAUGGCGUGAAGUCGCCGAGGCUGGUGAGAGGGGCUUCGGUUUCGGGUCCAGAGAAGAAUAAGGAGGAGGAGAGGCCCAAAUUCUCGUUGACGCUCACCAAGAAGGAGAUCGAGGAAGAUUUCAUGAAGAUGCUCGGCCACCGCCCUCUCCGACGCCCAAAGAGGCGGCCAAGAAAUGUUCAGAAGCAAUUGGAUGUACGUCAAAUUCCCAAAUUCAUAAAUCGUGACCCUCCUCUUAGUUUCUUGACUUCUUCCCUCUCGGCCAUUCUGUUUGUUUAUCAAAUUAACUGACGGCGGUUGUUCUUGUUGCAGGGUUUGUUUCCCGGUACGUGGUUGACGGAGGUCUCGGCGGAGACGUACAAGGUUCCUGAGUUCCCUGAAAAUACAAAGGUGAUUGCUUUCUUCUGACUUCUCUCUCAUAACUUCAAAAGUCUUCGUCUUCAAACUUUUCAUUGAUUUGAAUAUUUGAUCAACACUGAGUCACUGAAGAAAUUGGGCUCUCUAAAUAAUGCAAUUAUCCCCAAAUUUAGCUGAUAUUUUCUUGGGGUUUUCAAACUUUCAUGAGUUAUGAAGAUUACGGAAUUCAAAGUUCCCGCUUUUCUUUCUUUCCCAAAUUUUCAAAUCACAACUUUGUUCAGUGCUGAACUGUUUGCUCAUUCUUUUUUGCAGAGGUAGCGAUCCGGGCAAACGCGGGCUUAUGUGGAAAGUUUCAAGGCUCUUGUUUAUUUCUGACUGCUGCUGCUGCUGCUUGCAAAGAGGGUAUGCCCAUACACACAUACACAUUGGAGUUUUGAUGAAACGUAUCAAAUCCCCUGUUACUGCUGAACGUUCAGUUGCUUUGGAACACUAAUUUUGUUUGUUAAUUAUAAUUCAUCUUCCUUUCUUUUUCUGAAUAAAAUGUAAAUAAGGGAAAUCUGGCCGGAUUCUAUUAUAUCGAAAAUAACAUUUGUGGUCUGAGCUAGGUUUUUCCUUUUCGGUGACUGUCUAGUAUAAUAUCAGUUGCAUUUGAUCUCAGUGUUCCCAUUGUUCAUCUUUGUUUUCGUUUUCUUUUCGGGUGCAUGCUUGGCCACAUACUACUUGACAAUUUUGAAUCUUUUACUGUUCUCUUCAUUUACACCAUCUUUGAAACAAGUGAAUGAAAGAGAAGAGUGGCUAGGGAAUUAAUUGUUUGUAUGGAAAUGGACUUGUAUAUUUCCUUCUUUUCUGUACAUUGUAAAAUAUUAAACGAGCAUGUUCUUUCGAAUGUAAUUGAACUUCUGACCUAAAUGCAAGUCUAAUGACUUGUUUUGAGGUCUCCGUUUCAUGGAAGUAGCGUAGCUUCAAGGCGGUAGGUUGUACCGGAAGCAACACUUGGUUGCUCCUACUUCUUGCCUGUGUUUUGGUUUUUGCUGUUAAUCUUCACAGUUCUGCCCUGUCCUGCUCAACUACCUCUAUUCAAAACAUCGUUGUUUCACUUAACUAGUAGUAUUAAUCUUCAUAAUUCUGCAAUCUUUUCAUUUCUUUUUUUGUUUCGUUUUGGUACAGAUGCAGUAAUGCUGAUUGCCAUCACAUUCACACUACAAAUUUCUGCAACAAUGAUUUGUAAUACAGUAACACUUCCUUGGUCAUUGUUUAGCGGAGUCAAUUGUUCAAGAUUUUAUCUGCUGAAUAAUGUAGAUUUUAUGAAUUUUUUAUGAAUAUAAUGUUUGUCUUUUGCAUCCUGUCCUUCUGGUGUGAGAUGGAUAAUGUUUGUUUUCUUCUUUUGUUUAUUGCCUAUUGGAAGCAGGCAUGCUACUGUUUAAAGUCAAUCCUUCGCACUUAAUUUGGCUUGUUCAAAACUGAAAACUUCCAUCAAACCCUAAACAGUUGGAAGUUCUGUACGUUGGUGACCAUUGAUCAACGUCUCGUGAUCAAUGAUCUUAGCAUUCAUUGUUGCAUUGUAACAUUGAUUCGAGACUUCACGGUGAUAUCUGGGGCGCAGAGAAGUCUCUCUCUUGCUCCCUGGUCUGACUUUUUCCUGUCCUGGGAUUUCCCUAGCCAUAGCCUACUCGUUUGUUUGACUUCCACUUUGACUCGUGAGUUUUGUUCCCGGAACUGGAUGACCUGUUAUUCUUUUGGCAGAAAACCUCCAAGGCUGCUGUUUGACUAGGCAACUUAUCGUUGCCGUGACUGCGCGUUCGCGUACUGUUGUUGGCUUUGGGUUCUCAGUUUCAAAUUUCCAGUUGCUCAACUGUUGAGGCCCAACCCAGUUUGUGCCUCCAGUCCAGUAAAUCUUGCUCUCAACAUUUAAGGGGCCUUUUGCAGCCCAUGAUGGCAGCAGAACGUUGCGCUCGAGUGUGCCCGUCACACAGUCAUAUUCCUGUUUUGACGAUAAAAUAUACCAUGUGUGUCUAGUUGCCAUUUUUUGAGCUUGAACUUCCUCUCUCCUUGUUGCCGCGACCUUUUCUUGUUGCCACUGUCUGUAGCUGUUUUGGUUAAUGAAGUUACUAUUUGCCGGAAGAACAACGAGCCAUCGCUUGGAAAGUACAAGAGAGGCAUCCCAAAUCUUCAUACAUUACACAGAGAAACAAACCAUUUUGACAAGACGAUAUUUUAUUCUAAAUUACUCUAAUUCACGUGGAAUUUGAAUUUGAAUUUCGACGAAAUGAGACAGACACCUUCCCUACUCAAUUACCUAACUCACUACUACAACUAUUUUCAAAAGAGGAAAAAGAGAGUCAAAUUUACUUAUUUGGUAAUUUGAAAAAGAAUAAAAAAGCAGAAAAGAAAGAAAGGGAUGUGACAGUGAAAGAAAGAUACCUUGUUCAUCUUUCUCCACUCUACUUUUCACCCUUCCAACCAUCAAAUUUACCCAUCACCGUAAAAAAUUCUUCAAUUUACAGAGUAUGAAUAUUAUCACAUGGUACCUAAUAAUACAAGAUUGCAGACAGCUAAUUUCAUCUGUACUUGGAAGAUUUAACUCGGUCAUUUCUUCUUCUUUCUAAAUUUACCGUUACAGAAGAGAGAACCGAACCCGAAAAAACUCCCAGUAACUUUGGAAAUGUAAGGCGGUGGGAGAUUCAGAACAGGGCUGAUUCUGACCCCAUUGCCGUGAGAUCCACUCUUUCUCAACGCCGGCUUCUGGUUCAUGUUGUUGUAAGGAUAAUACGUACUCGAACACGAGGCAGACGAUGAUCUUCGGCUCGAAACCGAUGUCUGUUUCUGCAAAUGCUGCUGCUGCUUCUGAUGAGUUGUUGUUGUUGUUUCCUUUGGAGGCAACGCUUGCUUUUGAUUUGGUUUUGGAGCCGACCCUGUUGAGUUGCUUCUCGAAAGAAACUGAAGCGGCCGGAUUAGGCUCUUGCCGCGAGCAGCGUCGCAGUUGAGACUGCUGCUCCGCCGGAACUGCCAGAAUGGCUUUGCUGUUGGAGGCUUGUCGGUUUCAUCUGCAUCGGCAUUGGCGUCUAAAAAUUCUUUCAACCUCUUCUUCUUCUCAUCUGAUUUUAGCCUCUCUGUUUUUAUAGGUGUUGAGCGAUGAGCAAGGGUAGGAGGAGCUGCCCUCUCAUCAUCAGCCUGACGAGUAACUGUUUUCUCUUCAGGCUGGUGAGUUUCUUCGGCGGCGGCGAGAUUUCUCUUGAUUUGGACGGGGAGAAUCUUCCCAUUGGAGAAAAGCUCGUCCGCCGAAGACAACUCCAGCUUGAGAUUGUUUACAAUGCAGAAAUCGAAAUCGGCAGUGGAAUCCGAGAGAGAGGAGUCUAACCGUUGCCCUUGUUUCGGAGCAUGAUUCGUCUUGUCCAGAUCAUGGGAGAAUGAAAUUCUUGGACUGAAUCCGGGGCUCCAAAUCUCCGAGCAGACCUCAAUGGCCAUGGUUGCUCCAAAACCAACUAACAAAGUGUUUCGAAUUCGAAGAGAAGUGCCUGAAACAAGGCUUUAAAAUCCAGCAGAGAGCCCAGAGUGGCAUUGAAUGUCGGCAGAUUCGGAGUCAAAAGAAGCCAAAAGUCGGCAGGAAUUUGAAUUAUGGGAAUCAGAAGUCAGAAGCCAGAAGCAGCAGCAGCAGCUUUAGCUUUUCCAUUUGUGUUUCUGCUUUGAGCAUUUCUGAGAGAUGCAUUGGAGGAUAUCAGAACAAUUCUGCAGAUUGCAGAGGUCGUUAUAUUGCCUUUUCCCCCAAGUUAUCAGAACAAAAGGAGAAAGAUAAAGAGAAGGAAAUUAAAGUGGUUGAAUUUAAGCACCGAAAGGCUAGAAAAGAAGACCCUCAAAGCCUCCUCUAUGAGGUUUCCAAUGAAACUUUUACUUUUGGGGAUGGGAAAAACAGAGUGAAAGUGAGUUGGGUGAGGGAAAUGGCACUUAAAGUCAAAAAAAAAAAAAAAAAAAAAAAAAAACUAAAAUCGUCGGUUUGUUUGAUACAUAUUGGAACUAAAUGAUUAGUAAUUGAUAUAUUUUGCAGACAUGACCGUUAAAUGAUAACUACAAAUUAAAAGGUUUUAAUAGCGAUAUUUAUACGGUUUAAAUACGUCUACUGCAACUGAGUUGAUAAAAAAGUAUACUCACGAACGAAUGAUGAAAAUAUAUAUAGAUGAAAAUAAAAUUUUGGCAGGAGCCACCUGAUUAGAUUUUCCAUCAGGAAGGUGCAAUUGUGCUUCAUUUCUGAAAUCAAUCAGUAAUAAUCCAUUUGAAUAUUUAUCUAGUACUAUAAUGUAUAUUCUGCAAAUUAUAACAACAACCAAGCUUUAUGCCAUUAAGUAGGGUCGGUAAUCCUAGAACGUCAUUGUGCAUAGUUUGUGCCAAGUCUUCCGUUCGCUUCAAGUACUUCAUAUCUUCUCUUAUAGUCUCUUUGAAAGUCUUUAUAGAUUUUCCUCUACUCCUUAUAUCCUUAGUCUCCAUCUCAUAUAUUUGCAAAUUAUAGAAACCCAAAAUUCUGAAAUCUCUAUAUGAAAAGGAGCAAAAAUUACAUGGGAAGCAACUGGUUUUUGGGGUGGAUCUAGUUGAUUAAUAAAAAAAAAGAGCGGCCUUAAGCAACAAUGCUUCCCGCUUUGUGAGGGUGGGAGAUGGAGGAACGUCUAUCAUACGUAAUCUUAUCAUUCUUUCGUAAAAAAUAUUGUUUACACGAUUUGAAUCUGUGACCUUUUGAUCACAAAAAAACAAGCUUGCUCUCAUCAAUUGAAAAAUAAACUUAAUAUAUUUUCGGGAUAUAGACAGAAGGUUACGUUCAGAUCUAAAAGGUUGCCAUUGGGAUAUAGAAAUCCAAUUCAGCAAGUUCCAAAUUGAAAAUAAUUUAGAGAAGCAAAGCAAAGGUGUGUAAUAUGUUGCCUAAUUGGUUGACAUAAGAUUGAUGAUUGAUGAGGCAACAAUAAUAUGUCACGCGAUGUAGGGUCCAUGUGGGACUCAGCCCCAUAACGUUGUUUUGUAUAGGCAUUAUUUGUUGCGUUGCAAGCGCUCAAACUAGGUUCAACCUUAUUAGGGCAAAGACACAAUGAAGUUGUACUAAAUCUAAAAGUUUGUGAUCAUGUCAGAAUGUGAGAGCGUCCAACACAAAAAUAUGUGGAGAGACUCAAAGUUGUUCAACUACGUAUGUUAAACUUUAAUAUUGGAUGUGAGAUACUUUCAACAUGUCUUUUUAUGCAUGACAUUUUUUGGGGAACAUGAUUUAAAGGAUCAUGUUUGUGCGGUGCUUCGAGAUCAAUCGAUCAUGGUCAUUCACCAUGUUUAUACCAUAUUUAUGACCUCGUAUUUAGAUCUCGUACAAAUACUCGGGGGACUUAAAUGUAAUUAUGUGGUAAAGGAAAGGGCAAAUAUGUAAUAAGUGAGGAGUCUUUAUUCUAUAAAAGGACCCCUCACCCUCACAAUUAGAGAGGCUCAUUCUCACCCUCAGAGGCCAUUUCUUAAGGCUCCUUCAUCCUCUCAAAGCUCUCACAUUACAGAGCUCAUUCUCUCUCUCCCUCAGAUAAAUAUAUAUUCAGUGUGGACGUAGCCCAAACCUUGGGGUGAACCACGAUACAUCUUGUGUUAUUUACAUUUCAUGCAGAUUCACGGUCGGAUUUACGUUGUACCAAGACCUCCGGUUUUGUGCAUCAACAUUUGGCGCCGUCUGUGGGAAACGACACAAAAAACUAUGUCGGUUCUCUUUCAUUUUUUUCAUCAAAUCUCACCACUGUGAAUCUGCAAAAUCUGCAAAACCCAAAAUGAUGCAAACCUGAGAAGAGAGGUUUGGAAAUCGAGGCAAAAAGAAUAGGCCAGAGAUGUAAUUUUAUCAAACACGAGGGCUUUUCAGAAAAUUCAACUGCCGGAGAAGGCGACAAGUGUAACAUCAUCCAACAAGCAAAGCAUCCAUGUCCACAGCAGCAGAAAGCCUUAAUUAUAUUCCGUCUUGUGAGAAGUAUUGUCCAGCGCUCCCUGCGAAUCUUGUACAGUUGGCGGCCAAGACUCUCUCCCUCUCACUGAUGAAUCCUUGAAGUCAACACCCAGGGGGACGCCUACACAUCCUGGCGCCUGGCUCACCCUUUCAGGGUCCUGAUAGAAAUCUGCAGACCGUGACCAUGGGGGUGGUGGGGUCGGGUAGUAACACCUCAUCUCUGCCGUCUGAAAUCUCUCGAUUCGCUGUCCAUCAGCUUGUCAUGGCUUUCCAGGCCGUUGAUUUUGUCACCUUGACUCACUCCGAAGCGAGAAACCUCAUCUCCGAUCUCAAGGUCGCGCCGCCUCUAGAUGAUUCGCUUGCUUGGUAUUUGGACCACAGCGUCAAGCUCUUGGACCUCUGCAACUCCAUCUCUGCCGAGAUCGAACGCCUUUGCCAGCGCCGCCUUCAUUUCACCUUCGUUCUUCACCUUCUCGGCGACCGAAAGGGUGAAGAGCUCCCGUCGCCGGAGAAUAUCCGUCGAUCUCGCAAAUCGCUAUUUGAUUUCAAUCGCGGUGCUUCUUCUGGCUUUGGAAAGCGAAGCAACGCCGAAGUCUUAGUUAGAGAUCUGAACCUGAGCCCGACUCGCCUGAGCAACGCGCCAUGUGGCAAGAUAUCGAGUGUGGCAAAGCUCGUGCGUCGAAGAGUGCACUCGGUGGGACUGGUGACUGUGUCAUUUUCUUCACGAGUUUCUUACAGAUGCUUAUGCGGAAUAUGUCAUCAUCAUGAUAUGGUCUGCAACUAUCAUGAAAUGGGAGAGAUUGAAGAAGUGGUGUUGGCGAUGCAGGCCAGAAUCAACUAGGGUGUUGGUGGGGGAAGCCGAGAUCAACUAGCGGAGCUUUACACAUCAUGCAACGAUCAGACGGUGAAGUUGUAGGGAAUGGGAGAAUGGACCAAUUGCUCCAAGACUUUGACUGCUUUUCCACCGCCUCUAUUUUAUCCACCAAGAACCAGCAAUUGAAUAAUUAAAGUGGAAAGCAAAAGCAAAGCAAAGUAAAAGAGCAAAGCAGAAAGCAUGGCUACCCUUUCAACAUGAGAUUUGCGGUGGAAAAGAGCAAAGCAGAAAAUAUGGCUACCCACUGAGAUAAUUACAAAAGUAGAAAAGAAAAGAGAAAAACAAAAGUAAGGAAUAAACAUUCUACCAGAAUGAUGUAAUUUAUUAUCUUUCGGAGACAUAUGUAUAAACCCCAUCAGUGGGUAAUAUGUAUAAACCCAUCAGAGGGUAAUUAAAAAAAAAAAAAAGAAAAAAAAAAAAAGGAAAAGCCCAAAACAAAUGGGCUGACAUGUUGUGGAGGGCGAAGACCUAUAAGCCUGAAAUAGCACCAACCAGGUGAUCAAAAGUACGCCUAGUACUCCAAAAUUAUUCGGCAACCUGCCGCUAUUAGCACCAACCAGGUGAUCAAAAGUAUGCCCAGUAUUCCAAAAUUAUUCGGUAACCCGCCGCCAUUACCACCAACCAGGUGAUGAAGUGUACAAUCCGUACUCUAAAUAUCAUUUGGCAACUAGCCAUUCAUGCCACCAACCAGGUGAUGAAAUGUACAACCCGUACUCUAAUAUCAUUUGACAACUAGCCAUUCAUGCCACCAACCAGGUGAUGAAAUGUACAACCCGUACUCUCCUUCAUGCCACCAACCAGGUGAUCAAAAGUACGCCCAAUACUUCAAAUUAUACAUGAGCAUUACUCAUGUCAAUCAUACAUAAACAUUCAUGAGCAUCACUCAUAUCAAUCAUACAUAAACAUUCAUGAGUAUCAUUCAUGUCAACAUUCAUGAAGAUCACUCAUGUCAACAUCCAUGAACAUCACUCAUGUUAAUCAACAUAAACAUUCAUAAGCAUUACUCAUGUCAAUCAGCUUCAAAAUCUUCAUUUACAAAAGCUCUAGCUUCCAAAGCUUCAUUUACAGAGCUCCAGCUUCAAAGCUUCACUUGCAAAGCUUCACCUACAAAGCUUCAGUGCAGGGUAUACAAAUACCACCUCCCAACAACCGCCACUUCGGCCCAUACAUGGAUUCAAUUUGAAGUCUCCAGCCAACAAACUCUAUUGACCGAAGACUUGAGGGACUACAUUAUGUACCAUAUAUUGGGCUUCAACUGGGCCUCAUGAAAAAUACUUGGGGGACUUAGCCCAUUACUUAUGUAUUAAGGAGCGAGCCCUUAUUCUAUAAAAGGGACUCCUUCACUUUCAUUAGAGAGCACCCAUUAUUCACAUACUGAGGAGCGAGCUUUUUUUUAUAAAAGAGACUCCCUCACCAUCAUUAAAGAGCAACGCCGCCAGCUGAGCAACCGCCUCGCCGCGAGCAUCACUCAUAACCCAUCAUUCAUAACCCAUCAUUCAUGUAUUGAGGAACGAGCCCUUAUUCCAUAAAAGGGAUUCCCUCACCAUCAUUAGAGAGCAUCAACUCUAGCCUAUCAUUCAUGUAUUGAAGAGCGAGCCCUUAUUCUAUAAAAGGGACUCAUUCACCUUCAACGCCACAAGCUGAGCCAACCAAGGCAACAUAAGCCACGAGCCGAGCAGCCUCGCAUCAUGUGUUACUUCUAGUUGAACAUCAUUUCAGAUUGAGCACCGCCUCAUAUCAAGCAUCAGUUCAAGACAAUAUCUAGUUACUUCGGCCCACACAUGGACUUAAUUUCAAGUCUCCAGCCAAAAGACUCUUUUGACUGAAGACUUGGGGGACUACUGUUUAUACCAUAUUUAGGGCCUCAUAUUUAGAUCUCGUACAAAUACUCGGGGGACUUAAAUGUAAUUAUGUGGUAAAGGAAAGGGCAAAUAUGUAAUAAGUGAGGAGUCCUUAUUCUAUAAAAGGACCCAUCACCCUCACAAUUAGAGAGGCUCAUUCUCACCCUCAGAGGCCAUUUCUUAAGGCUCCUUUAUCCUCUCAAAGCUCUCACAUUACAGAGCUCAUUCUCUCUCUCCCUCAGAUAAAUACAUAUUCAGUGUGGACGUAGCCCAAAUCUUGGGGUGAACCACGAUACAUCUUGUGUUAUUUACAUUUCAUGCAGAUUCACGGUCGGAUUUACGUUGUACCAAGACCUCCGGUUUUGUGCAUCAACACACCACAUAUCGAACGACUACGAUUUCACCAACCUCAUGUUCACUGCCUUAUCUCUUCUCUUUUCAUUGCUUCUCUUCUCAUGUUCACAGAUCGAAUGAGUUUGCGACCGAGGCAUGUCGAUGACUCAUCGUAAACUUGAUUGGCACAGGGAAUGAGUUCGCCACAGAAGAGAGGUUACAAUCCCACCUUCAUCGGCGACAAUGUGCUUUAGUGCACGAUGAGCGUGCAAAUCAUAAACGGUGUUUGGUUGGGCAAAAUUGUAAGGUGAUGGAUGAGGCCUGGUGUCCAUGGAUUUGGAGGUCCUUUGGUCGCGACAACGCGCUUCGAUAGUGUGACUUUUUUUCACUGUUCAAUAUAUCAUGAACGACUCGGAUUAAUGGAUCUCGAGGAUCCUCACAAACAGAAUCCGAAGAGGAUCCUCUUCCACACCUUUUGUGGUUAACACUUUUCACAAUUUUUAUUGGAUGGGACCAUGUGGGACAAUUGGACGGAUCACAUGAAUAUCAUGUUAGAAUGUAGCGUAUAAUCCAAAAUUAUUUAACUAUGUGUGAAGAGGUAAUCUUUAAGCACUAAUAUUGUACUUAAACCAUUCCAUAACUCUUAAUAUAUUGAAGUGGGAUCCAUGAUGAGCACCCGCACGAAAGAGACUUCGACAGUUUUGGUUUAUUAGGACAUAUCUCACAUGCCAUAGAACUAAAGUUACGUAGAUUAAAAUACAAAUGAAUCCAUAUUUUUGUGAAUUUUUUAUUUUUUUUAAAAGAUGAACAACUGAUUGCAAGUCACAGUUAUCUAUUACUUACGAAGAUCGAGAAAACUCAUAAAAACAUUUCAGCCUCUCUUACUCACAAGCUAUAUUUUUAUGAUAUUUACUCUUAGGAAAAAUAUGAUCCUUUGUCACGCGCGUACUGAUGAGAUCACAAUUUGCAAUCAUAGAACGUGCAAGUACAUGCUAUGCACGAAAGAUUUGACACAUGGGCUAGUACAUCUGUUUGACCUAAAAAAUAAGGGCUCCAAAGAAAUGACUAGGACUGAGGGAUAGACAAUGCAUGAUAUAGGCCCACGUACACGAUGUCAGUGUCCCUUAAUUUGUUGGGCUUGUAUAUUCCUCGUCCCACCGCCCACAUGGACCCUGUUUGGGAAUCUAAUUAAGCAUAUCCCAGAAACCGAUCGUUAAGUAAAACGGAGCUAGAUUUCGACCUACUAAACGUUGUCGUUUAGGCAUUAAAAUACAUAAAUAUAUGCAAACGCCAAACAGCGCUUUUACCAAACGAAAACUACAGCGGAAAAUUGAAGUGAAACGUCGUCAGAUCUAGACCCGGAUCCGACCCGCCAGCGGAACGACGCUAACAGCUUUGACUAUCGGGUAACCUCCAGAUUUCCACAAACCGACACGACCUUUCCCUGCAUACCAUCCUUUAUUCCCGCAAUUUGGGCCGGUUCGAAAUGAGAAAAUGGAGCCGCCGUGGGACAAGAGCAUGAAGAAGAAGCGGAAGCGGAGCCGCCGCCCCGUCAGGCUGAGAUGCUCCGUCAAGAAUUACGAUUGGGGCAUUGUCGGCCGCAAUUCCAAGGUCGCCAGGCUUUUCGCGCUCAAUUCCGGGUCUGACAUCGACCCGGGCAAGCCGUACGCGGAGUUCUGGAUCGGAACUCAUGAAUCUGGGCCGUCGUAUGCGGAUUCCGGGUCGGAGCCCUUGAGUCUCAAGGCCUGGAUCUCGCAGGAUCCUAGUGUGCUUGGAGACAAGGUGGUUGAAAAAUGGGGUGCUGAUCUUCCGUUUUUGUUUAAGGUAUGGGUUCUGUUUGUUGUUUGGUUGCUGAGAAAAUGCUGAAGAGGGAAUAGAAAAUUGAAUAAUUAAUGGUAGUUUGUGAACACUGUGUUUGCAUUUUGUUUCUUGUCAUCUGGGUAAUACAUUGUAAAUCUGAGAUUUAGAACUUUUUCCUGCAAAAUGCAGUGAUUUCUUUUGCAAGAUUAUGGAGUUUUGGGAUUAUUGUGGAUUGUAGGUGCUUUCGGUUGGGAAGGCGUUGUCGAUACAGGCUCAUCCGGAUAAAGAACUGGCUAGGGUGUUGCACAAGUUACACCCCAGUGUUUUCCGAGAUGACAAUCACAAGCCUGAAAUGGCAUUGGCAUUGACGGAAUUCGAGGCUCUUUGUGGGUUUAUCAGUGUCAAGGUAAAAUAUGCAACUUCCCUUCGAUCUCAUUUAGCUCUUGUGCUUGUAUUGAAUUUGAUCUUUAUAACAGUGUUGCUAGAUUUAGAUGACGUUUCUUAUCAACGUCCUGAAAAUGUGCCGAUUAUAGUUGCGAUGGGUUAGAUCCCUAGUAAUUAGUAAUGAAGCAUAAACUCUGCUUUUGCUUUUAGCAAUCAGUUCCACCGGAUCUUGCGGUAAGGAAGUAAAGGAAUGCAGUUGAAAUCAAUAAGUUAAGACGCCGUUGAAAUCAAGUUUUUAACUUUAUCAAGUAAUCACCUGAAAUGCAUUUCACUUUUUACCCUCAGCUUAUAAAGAUUUUAUAAAACAUAUUCAACCGAGUGCAUUCUUAUUAUAAUUAUAAAACAAUUUCUCUUACUCCAGAUCGUUCGUCUGUUCCUAAUUGUAUAUUUUAUUUCAACCAGGAGCUUAAGGACAUGCUUAAUAGUGUUCCCGAGAUUGCAGAAUUGGUUGUGGUUGGAGAUGCAGAGCGAAUUGUACUUGGUAGUGAGCACCAUGAGAAUGGGAUAGCCAAAACAGAUAUAGAAUCCGUCUUCACUCGACUUAUGUUACUAAGUAAAGAUACAAUUGCUGAGAUGAUUUCUAGACUGAAAAGACGCCUUAAUCUAGAGAAAAAGGUACUUUCAAGUUAUGUUUGCUGUAAUUGUUGCCAUUAAAGAGUUGCUUUCAUCUAAACAUAUUGAAGGAUAUAACCCACAAUAACUAAAAUCAUAGCUCGUUGUUCUGCUAUCAGUAUAUACCCAAUAUGAAAGUGAUAGGAACAUUGUUGUUUGAAUAGUCAGUAUAACUAGAGUUCCACCAUUAUCCAUCAUGUUUAUGUUGAUUGCAUCACUAGGUUUUUCUUCAAUUACAAUAUUCUUUGCUUCAUUGGACCAGAAAAGGCAUUUGACGGUUAAAGAACAACUGGUACUCAGAUUGGAGAGUCAAUAUCCAGAUGAUGUGGGUGCAAUAGCAGCGUUUUUUCUUAACUAUGUGAAGCUGAACCGUGGUGAAGCAAUAAGUCUUGGGCCAAAUGAACCUCAUGCAUAUAUUUCUGGUGAAUGCAUUGAGUGUAUGGCAACUUCUGACAAUGUUGUUCGUGCUGGCCUUACCUCAAAACCAUUGGAUGUCCAAACACUUCUUUCUAUGCUCGAAUAUAGACAGGUAACAUAGAUUUUCAUUCUCGAUUCUUUCUGUUUCUUGAGGGAUGCUCCAUCUGGUAGAUAUGAGCAUUCUAAAGAAUAUAAACCUGCUUGCUUCUAAUAUAUUGACAUUGUUUUUCAGGGUUCUCCUGAAAUUAUGCAAGGCGUUUCUUUGAAUCCAUACACAACAAGGUAUCUCCCACCUUUUGAAGAAUUUGAAGUUGACUGCUGUAACCUUCCUCACUCUGCAUCGGUGGUUUUUCCUUCAGUCCUAGGACCAUCCCUCUUCCUGUUUACUGCCGGGAAAGGACAUUUCGAUGCAAGUCUGUCUGAGGAUGAUAUAGUGAUGGAGGGUGAUGAUAUAGUUGAAGAGGGUGAGGUUUUCUUUGUGCCUGCCAACACGAAGAUUAGCAUUACCGCCAAAUCAACAGAACUACAAUUGUACAGGGUGGGAGUGAACAGCAGAAUAUUUAGGGAUUUGUAGUCUGCGGUUACUUUGAAUUCUUCCUUUUUCUUUUUCCGAAAGAAGAAAAAUGCGGACACGACUUCAUACAGUCACAUUCUUAUGUAAUAUUUAUGAGUAAUAUUUACGUAAUAUUUCCUCCGUCAUUCUUUACAUGUAUUUUAUUUAGGGUUAAAAUUGUUAAAUGUUAAGAUGGAGCGAGAUCGAAUUCGCACUGGAGUACAUUAGCAUUAUUACUUUCCACUAUUGCUCUAAAACGUUGUUUGCAUUUUCUUGACAAAGUUAUUCUCCACUCAAGUAACAAUUAAAAAGAUUCGCGAAAAAGAAUCUCCAGAAGAAAAGGAGAGAAUAAAUUCGGGUUGCUUGAAGCCCAAGUUUGACGUGGAAAAAUAGAAUAACGACUAAUGAUAUUUUCUUGAUAAGAAGUUAAUAAAUAAACGGGUCGGGUUGCUUGAAGCCCAAGUUGGUCAGGGUGGGUUAAAUGGGUCAAGACAAACGCGUCCUUUGCUUUUACAAUUCCAAGUAAAGCUUAGGGCCCACAGAAGCGCGAAAACCACAGAUUCUCUCUCUCUCAUCGCAUUCCCAUCAAAUUAGCUGCCAGAUUCCACUGCCGCAAUCCGAUUCCCUCUCCACUGGUUCGCCUGCUUGCCGCCCUCCGACGACUAAACCUAGAAAGUCACGCGCAGGCUCGCUCCCUAAACCCUAGAAGCUCCUUUCCCGUUUCAGCCAUGCCCGGCAAGGACGACGCCGGCUCCUCCGAGAAGGAGAAGAACCUCGAGCUCUUCCUCAAAGUCGGAUUGGACGAGCGCACGGCCAAGAACACCAUCGCCAACAAAAAAGUCACCGCCAACCUCACCGCCGUCAUUCAUGAGGUACUCAAUCGUUGAUUUUCUUCUUCUUCUGCUGCUUACUUUUCGUGUUUUUUUUAACCGAUUCAAAUGCAUGCAAUUCAUAAUCCCGCGGAUUUAUAAUUUUAGUCUACUUAUUUUGUUGUUCUUGAAUAAUUUCAGGCGGCGGUUACUGAUGGAUGCAAUCGAACAGUUGGUAAUCUCCUCUACACGGUCAGUAAUUUAACUUUAAGCCAUCUGUUAGCAUUUCUGAUUAAGCUAUUAAUCCAGUAAAUUUUAGUGUCAUUUGUAACCUUGUAGAAUUUACUUUAGCUCCGUCCUUUUCUAAAUGGAUGAUAGUUCCAUAAGGGUGCGUUUGGAUGACGGACUUUGAAGCUCCAUGGAACCUAAAAGUCUAAAUUAGUUAGGAAAGCAUGGUUGAUUAAUAUCAAUGACAGUGAAUAUAUGUUAAUGAUUAUAUAUGCGCUUUGAUGUUGUAUCAUCUAUGACAGGUUGCGACAAAGCACCCAGCAAAUGCCCUUGUGCAUCGCCCAACAUUGGCGCAAUACAUUGUAUCGUCGAAGGUUGGUGACUGCACCUUCUUAGUGUUUUGGAUUUAACGGACAUACUGUUUUAUAAUUCUUGCUGUUGAUUAUUGAAUUACUUUUUCUUCGAAUUCUUACACAGUUUUUAUUUUCCAGAUUAAAACCCCUGCCCAGUUAGAAGCGGCUUUUUCAUUUUUUGCAACGACGGGGCCAGAGAAUUUUGAAGUAAAUAAAUUUGAAGAAGCUUGUGGUGUUGGUAAGAUUUAUUGGGACGUAUAUUGAACAUGUUUUGGAUUUGUUACAUAAUGUAUAUGUCUGGAAUUUGAUACUGGCUCCAUUUAUCUAUUCUGGACUUAGAUUUUUGUCACAAUUUGAAUUAAUCGUAUCAUGUUAGUUAUCCUGUUUUCUUUCUACAAUUAUAGACAUUUAACCUUUUUGCUUUUGGCAAGCAGGUGUUGAAGUUUCAGAAGAAGAAAUAAAACAAACUGUUAAUGAGGUUUUUGAGGAGAAUAAGGCUGCAAUCUUGGAGCAGCGGUAUAGAACAAAUGGUUAGUUUUUUUUUUCCUCCCAGCCAUUUCUAGUUACACACAACACUCACAACUGAAAAGUUGUAUGUUAUUAUAGGAAAACAUGCAUUCAUCUAUACUAUGUUUUAUAAAUCUUUUGAGAAUUUUUAUCAUUUUAUUUAUCAUAGACUAUGUUUUAUAAAUCUUUUGAGAAUUUUUAUCAUUUUAUUUAUCAUAGACACAUCCAGAAUUCAAUUGUUUGGUUGAUUGCUAUUAUUUCUUCUGGCCUUUGAUGGUUCAAGCCUUCUGAGUUCUGAGUAUAGAAUUUCCCUUAGCUGUUUGGAUUCGCGGCUAGAUAUGGUUUUGGGAAAUUAGAAAUGUCACGUACAUGUCUUUCCAAGGGGUUCCUGCCUAAUUGUUCUUAUAUGCUUGCUUCUCAGCCGUUAAUUGGUUGGGCUAUAGUCUCCUGUCUGAUCCAUGUGACCUCUGUUGCUCCGAAUUGUUUGCCGCCUAUGCAUCUGUGUUCCUGUUUAAUUCUUUCUCUAACCCCCAAUUCUUUAUGAAAUUAUUUGUACUUCCUUUAUGUGUUACAUCAGUAUGUUCUGUUUGAAACUACUAAACUUCGUAUUCUGUUGUUUCAUCUAGUGGGGGAUUUGUUUGCACAUGUUAGGAGGAGGCAUCCGUGGGCUGAUCCAAAAAUUGUAAAGGUGAUCUUAUUUUACUUGCCUUGGACUUAUUGUUAGCUUUUUCUUUUUUGGGUUUUUAACAGAAAAACUGAAAAAGUAAGCACUAAAAUAUUUCUGACUGCCAUAUCUUUUUCUGUGACAGCAAUUUAUUGAUGCAAAAUUGCGUGAAUUACUUGGUGAAAGGACAGCAGCAGAUGAUGAAAAGGUUCCAAAAAAGAAAAAAGAGAAGCCUGCUAAAGUAGAGGUUGGUAUUUUCCCAUGUUGCUGCAUUUUUUCUGAAACUUAUUAAGAAGUGACUGAAGACCACUCUGCAUUGUGUCUCCGUCCCCUCCUUCUCCAUUUUUGUAGGAAAAAGUUGAUGCUGUUUCUACUCCAGAACAGCCAUCUGAAGAAGUUCUUAAUCCAUACUCAAUAUUCCCUCAGCCAUUGGAUAAUUAUAAGGUAUGGACUUCCUCAUUUUUUUUGUUCUUCGUUCUGUAUUACAACAUACCUCCAACUGUAUGUACAAGGUAAUAUUUUGAUUCAGACAACAUACUGAAGAAACAAAGAAGUCAUUUUCAUUUAUUUUCUGAAUAGAGUGUAUUUGUACAGUUGGUGUUUUCACCACUCAUCAGUCGUUUUUGUCAUUUCAAAACCCCUUGCCUUUUUUGUUGCCUUAUUGAGUUGUGUGUUUCUCUUUUACAUUAUCGCAUGUCCAGCUCCGACUUUUUGUUACCCCGUUGUCAAUCUUCAGGUUCAUACUUCUGUUUUCUUUAGUGACGGUUCUAUUUUGAGAUGUUGCAAUACAAGGGAAUUGCUUGAGAAACACUUAAACAGGACUGGUGGGAAAGUUUUGACCCGCUUUCCUCCUGAACCGAAUGGAUAUCUACAUAUAGGUCAUGCCAAGGUAAAUGUGUUCUUGGAUAGAUUCAGUGUUUUGCUUUGUCAGUGGUUGUUCCUCAUUAUAACCGUAAACUAUUGAUUAGGCAAUGUUUAUCGACUUUGGCCUGGCAAAAGAGAGGGAUGGAGGCUGCUACCUACGGUGAGAGUCACUCCUCUGCUUUUAUAGUAUGAUUUUACUUUUCAAUUUCCAGUAGGAGGGAGAAACAAAAUAGACAUGGAAACCAUAUAAUUGAUUAUUGUGUUGUGGUUGAUGAUGUCAAAAUUUAUGAUCACAUAUGAUGUGCAUGUACUCUUUGUAUUAUUGCUGAAGAUAAUCUUACCUAAUUUUUUUGUUUGCAAUAUCUGGAACUAGGAGAACAUGUUCUUGAUUAAUUCUACUGUUACAGCAUCACAAUAUUUCUAAUUUUCCAGGAUAACAUAUUUAAACUACUGUUUGUUGCAGAAGUUUAUAAUCUUCUUUAAAAGUUUUAAAUGUUCUUUAACUUGAAAGGGAAAGAAUUUUUUAUCUUCCUGUGUUUUUGAAAGGUCGAUUCCUACUUUAUCACUUUUAGGUUUGACGAUACAAACCCAGAAGCUGAAAAGAAAGAAUAUAUUGAUCAUAUUCAGGAAAUUGUGAAGUGGAUGGGUUGGGAGCCCUACAAGGUAAAAAAAUUGGUUGGUACGUCUUCUUGAUAGUCUGUUUUGUCUUUGCGCCAGCUGACUCCUGCUGGAUUUCUGCAGAUCACUUACACCAGUGACUACUUUCAAGAUUUAUAUGAUUUUGCAGUGGAACUCAUACGAAGGGGUCAUGCAUAUGUAGAUCAUCAGGUUUUGUUCAAAGUUUAUAUGAAAAUUGUUUGUAUGCUGUGAUUAGUUAGCUUUCUACAUGCCUUACAAGUCCUCUGUGGUACAGUGUGGUCAUAUCAAUUGUUGAUGACUUCUACUUUUGUAUUCAUGACAUUGUUUUUAUUUACAAAUCAACAUUGGUCUGAGAAAUAUACUUACCUUUGUUAAUAUGGUUUUAGACACCUGACGAGAUAAAGGAGUACAGGGAGAAAAAAAUGAACAGCCCUUGGCGGGACAGGCCAAUUGCAGAGUCAUUGAAACUUUUUGAGGAUAUGAGACGAGGCCUGAUUGAAGAAGGCAAAGCAACCCUUAGAAUGAAGCAAGACAUGCAGAGUGAUAACUUUAACAUGUAUGACCUUAUUGCAUAUCGUAUCAAGGCAAGUGUGUACCUUAAAUAGUUCUUCUAAUUACUCGAGUUCAUGGGCAUCCUAAUAGUUACAGUAUGAAUUUCUUAUUGCAGUUUACACCCCAUCCUCAUGCUGGAGACAAGUGGUGUAUCUAUCCAAGUUAUGAUUAUUCUCACUGCAUUGUUGAUUCUCUUGAGGAUAUCACACAUUCGGUAUGCUUUCUAGCUUUGAUUGAUAUUCUUUCCUAAUGGAUAGUAGUGGCAUGAUUCAUGAUCAUCAAAUCAUGCCAAAUUUAUCAUAGGGGCAUUUCACUCCCUAUCCUCUGUGUGUUUUCACAUUAUUGUGCAAAUGUUGAUGGUUGAGUCUUGAGAUGUUGAGUCUUUAGUCACCCUGUAUUUGAAUAUGGCAGCUUUGCACACUUGAAUUUGAGACUCGCCGUGCUUCGUACUACUGGUUAUUAAAUGCCCUCGGAAUCUAUCAACCAUAUGUAUGGGAAUACUCACGGCUGAAUGUCAGUAACACUGUCAUGUCAAAGCGUAAGGUGUGUCAACUACUGAACAUACUUAUGUUAAGAGUUAUAAUGUUUGAUAUAUAAUUGUUAUGUAUGAGCCUUUUUCCACACUUAUCAACUACCAUCUAUGUUGCAGUUAAAUCGACUAGUGACUCAGAACUGGGUUGACGGUUGGGAUGACCCACGUCUUAUGACACUGGCUGGUUUACGACGCAGGGGUGUUACUCCAACUGCAAUAAAUGCUUUUGUUAGAGGAAUUGGAAUCACUAGAAGGUUUGAACUUUUGAUUGUGCAUGUGUGCGUGUGUGUAUUGUGCCUGCUUUUAGUUCUGCCAGUAUAUUGUGCUUCUUCAUUAUCAUAUAUGAACUUGUGAUUCUUUCUGCAACAGUGAUUGUAGUAUGAUACACUUAAGUCGCCUUGAGUAUCACAUAAGAGAGGAGCUAAAUAAAACAGCUCCUCGAACGAUAGCUGUGCUACAUCCCCUCAAGGUGUGUAUCUUAUUGGCAUUGGUUUUCUUGUGGUAUUUUUCUUCCAUCUGUGUAUGACGUAUAAUUUCUGGUUUAAGGUGGUUAUUACAAACCUGGAAGCUGGCACUACAAUGGAUCUAGAAGCAAGGAAAUGGCCUGAUGCUCAGACAGAUGAUGCAUCUGCUUUCUACAAGGUAACCCUGGGUUUUGCUGAUACAUAUUAAACGUUGCUCCAAGCUUUUGGUACUUCAAUUGUCACUGAAUUUUUUAUUUUUCCUUCACAUCAGGUUCCCUUUUCCAAUACCGUUUAUAUUGACCGGUCUGAUUUUCGGCUUAAAGAUUCAAAGGAUUACUUUGGGCUUGCUCCUGGUAAAUCUGUCCUACUCAGGUACCAUAUGGACUACAAGUUUUUACUUUCCUUUCCACUUGAGCAUAUUUGGGCUCAAGGGUCACAGUCUUUAUCUGAAUUUUGCAGAUAUGCGUUUCCUAUCAAGUGCACAGAUGUCAUAUUAGCUGAUGAUGAGGAAACUGUUCUUGAGAUACGGGCUGAGUAUGAUCCUACAAAGAAGACAAAGCCAAAGGUCUACAGUCCAUCCUUUUGCUUGUGGUUGUUGUUUGAUGCUUGGAAACUAAGCUUUGGUGCUUAUUACUCACAUUUUGUAUUCUUAUUGGUCAAUUUGUAUAUUCCACAGGGGGUGCUUCACUGGGUUUCUGAACCUUCUCCAGGGGUUGAUCCACUCAAGGUGGAAGUCAGAUUGUUUGACCGACUGUUCCUUUCAGAGGUUGGCCAUCAUUACUCUCUCUCUCUCUCUCUCUCUCUCUCUCUCUCUCUCUCUCUCCUUCCUAUCCCUCCCUCCCUCGCUAAAUCUUUUGGAAAUUUGUUUGUCUGUCAGAAUCCUGCUGAGCUCGAAGACUGGCUUGCUGAUUUGAAUCCAGAGUCCAAGGUGGUAAUACCCAAUGCAUAUGCUGUGCCCUCACUUGGAAGUGCUGUUGUUGGGGACGCAUUCCAGUUUGAAAGGCUCGGUACGUUUCUGCAUUGACCUUUUUAAUUUUUUUGUACUGAGAUAACGUUUUUAAGGCAAGAAGUAUUCUUUCAAGCGUGUUGAUAGCGGUCCACAUGGAAUCUAGGAAGAAAGUUGUACAUAAGUGGCUCGAGUCCAUAUAAAUUGUCUACUCAUACAGAAUUGUCUGAGGACUCUGUAUGUUUCUGUAUUGCAGGAUAUUUUGUAGUCGAUAAGGAUUCAACUCCUGAGAAGCUCGUCUUCAACCGUACCGUCACGCUGAGAGAUAGCUAUCACAAGGGCGGGAAGUAGGUAACGCCUUAGCAGGACACAAACUGGAAGUUUGGGAACUCAGUGAGUAGAUAUGAAUUACAAACUCAACUCUUCUCUGUACUGAUGUUAUUGUGCCAGCAAACUUAUAAGUUUGAAAGUACCAAAUGAAGUGAAACCUAGAUUAGUAUCUCUAAUCCAAUCCAAGGCACCAAACGAGCUCAAAAAGUUAUUUAGCGUGUUAUUUUUGCGUCUCGGAUUGGAUUACUACUCGUCCUCGUUGAGAAUUGAGAAUGUGUGGACGGGGAAACUACGGGUAAUAAGGAGCAAUUAAAGAACACUUUGGUGCUCUCUGCAGUCGGCAGUGUUGACACAAGUAAGAAAUUUAAAAACCAACCAGCUGCCUCCUCAUCGCAACUCCUCCUGUGUGACAGAGAGAGUGUGAGAGUUUAGUCUCUUCACGCUUAGUUGUGAAAGCGAAAGAAAGAUUGAUUUGAUUGAAAUUUUGGAGCGAUAAUAUCUCAUUUCCCCAUCAUAUUCUUAAAUUUCCAAGUUCCAAACUUCCAAAGCCAAACCCUCACAUGAAAACAUAGCGCACCAUUUUCCAUCUCUCUCCCUCUCUCUCACUCUCUCUCUCUCUCUCUCUCUCUCUCUCUCUCUCUCUCUCACUGUGGUGCCCCACUUUUUCAAAGAUAAACCCCCCACCCCCCACCUUCAACCCUAGUACUGAUGUUCACUUUAAUUCAUCCACACGGCUCCACGCAAAACACCCACAAGUUAGAUACUCUCAAACUCACGAACCCACCUCUACAAUUUUUUUGUACGAUCGAUCACGAUACUUUAGAUUAUCUUCAAUAGAAAUGUCAAAUUAUAACUGUUAUAUUACAAAUUGAUGAGCGAUGUGAUACUCUGGAGUCCUAUAUCAAAUUUUGUGUUUCUUCAAUCAAAUUGUUAAAUAUUAUUUUUCUUAUUAAUGUAAUCUCCAAUAGAUAUGUCAAAAUUGUCAUGUAGGUAUACAACAGUAAAAAAAUGGCAGCAAACUCUCUCCAAUUGAGCCUUCAAUUUCUUACGUGGUGCUGAGUCAUUUGAAGGCAGAGUCUUCUGCUGUCAAAUUUAUUAAAUGAUUUUUUUAACAAAUUAAUAUAAUAUAUAAUAAAUGUUGUUAUGUUUUUGAAACAUUUGAUUGGUUGCCUUAAUCAUUGGACUCUACAAAAAAAUAAAAAAAUUUAUUAAAUGACAUUAUUAUUUAACAUAUAGGGUGGAGCAAAAUAUUGUACACAAUGUCAAAAUUGCCACAUAAGCUAUCAACUAUCAUUUUGAUGUUUAAAAUUUGGCAUUGGAGAUGCCACCCACAAUUAAACUAAUAAAAAAAAUUGAUUGUCAAAUUUCACUCUUAAUCACAAAGGCUUCAAAUCUAACCAGUAAAUAAUACAUUAAUUGGAAUUUUUUUUAAUAUCAUAUGAUCAUAAUGGCAUCUGGACUUAGGAUUUGACACGUCUUUUAAAGAUACUUUUAAUUACCUACUGAUUAUAGUUAUACGGACGUGACAGUCAAUACAAUAUGUCUGCUCCAUUCAAAUUUCUUAUCCAAUAAAUUAUUGUACAUUAAAAUAUUAGAAUAUCGCUUUGUAACAUUCACCAUGUGGCACCUAGAAAUAAAAUCAUAUGGUUGACCGUCGAAAAAAAUAAGACUGAUGUGACAUAACGAUCGUAAUUCAUUCCACGUGGCUUCUAGUUGGGGACCCCCCCUUUAACAAAGCAUUAGAAUUUAUGUUAAUUUGUUUUAUAUAUAUUUAUUUUCUGUUUGCCGACGUUUAGUAGCUGCUUCUUCAACAGUUUUCCUUACGGAAAUUCAAGUCAGUUCUACUGUUUGUUAUUUGUUCGUUACGCUGAGUUGUCACUUAGUGAGUGAGUUGAGGCCUUGUAGAUGAAUAACUCAUGCAAAUAUACUAAAAUAAAGGAAAUAUCUAUGCUCGAUUCUACUAAGCGUGGAUUCUCCUCUUAUGUUAUCGCUCGUUUUGUGCUUAGUCACUAGAGAAAUAGAGCAUUCUCGGACUUUGGUAAUGUGCCGACCUGAUAAAGUUUCGUACUUGUAACGGAAGUUUGAUAGGGGUUUGAAAUAGAUCUCUUUGCACGCUCUAAAUAGGGUUCUUUUCACCUUUCCCUCACGGUACUAUGAACUAUCAUUUUCGAGCCCCCGCUUAUUUCUUAUUACAACAUUCUCGUCACCCCAGUUAUAAAAAUUAAACAAAUAUUAAUUGUAAAUAAGAUUUGUAUUAUAUCCCCAAAAAGUACAAGGUCAAACAUAUGAGUACACUUAGUACAGGGUCAAACGUAAGAUAUUGUUACAACGUGAUUCACUUAAAUUUGAAUCUUUCUUUUAUAAGUUUUAAAUAAUUGUAAAUAAUAAAAAAAACAAUCAACUUCAAACAGCAUCUGAUUACAUUACUUGUAGAAAAUGCAGUUUGAAUACAUUCCAUAACCUUAAACGACAUCAACUCAGAAAUCAGAAUCAUCCCCUGAAAAUCCUCUAACUUUCUAGGUUGUCACAUCCCGUCCAUGUUCCAUAAAUUGUCAGUGAUGGUGUCCAACACCCAAUCAUUUCCUACCAUCUGGCAAUCAAACUGUGAAUUGUCAUAAUUGCCCAUUGCCGAAACAGGGUCCAGGCUGAGACCCUCCAUGUCAUAGCUACUGUUGUCCACAUAGUAACUGCCAUCUGGACUUAAGCUGCUGUAUCCAAUGUGGUCAAAUGCAGGGUAUAAACUCGUCGACUGUUCUGCCAUUUGCGGCACCUGUGAAAUAAGAGAUUCCGACGAAAGAAUAUUACUUGGGACGGUGGCAAGAUUGGAAUUUCCACUCAUGUGGUAGUUGUCAAACAUGUUUGUCACAUUGCCAGGUGGAGAAGUUGGGAGUGGUACGGAAGGAACUGUGUGAUUUGGCGACAGAGAAGGAGAUGCAGAGUUCUGAGAAGGGCUCAAGGUUGAAGAACGAGAAGAUUGCUUCAUCUUUUGCAGCAGAAUCGGCAUCCAGAAACCCCGAACUGCGUCGAGAAAUUGCACGCUGUUCGACUCGAUGUUCAGUUGGCGCGCCUGUUUUUGCACUCUUGUUCUCCAAUAGUUCUUUAUCUCAUUGUCUGUUCUCCCCGGCAAAUGCUGCGCAAUUUUAGACCACCUGAAAAAACGUACAUGCAUGUUAUCGAUAUAUUUUGGACAAUACGGAUGCGCGACAUAAAGAACGGGUAUUCUUCAUGGAGAAUUUCUGACAUAACAAACAUCAACUUUACUAAAGAGUUAACGUUGUGACAUGAAUAGAAGAUGACCUGUUACCCCACUUAGAGUGGAGUUCAAGGAUCAAGAGCUGUUCUUGCGGAGUAAGGUUGCCGCGCUUAAUGUCGGGUUUUAAGUAAUUUAGCCAUCUCAAUCUGCAGCUUUUUCCGGUCCUCUUCAAUCCUAAAGAAAAACAGAGUUGAAUGCUUGAGAACCAAAAAAUGAAAUGGACUUGUUGACAAAAGGUUGUGAUCAUGUGGCUACUAUUUACCUGCAAAUUUUGCUAAAUAGUUCCAAUGGCCUUCGCCGUGGUUCGCGAUGUAAUGUAUAAGCAGAUUGUCUUCCUCAAGAGUCCAAGGCCCUUUUCUGAGCUCAUUUUCUUCAUUAGGGUUUCUAGGAGCAGCCAUAGUUGCUGUUUUACUUGAGAGAGAGAGAGAGAGAGAGAGAGAGAGGGAGAUAUUUGCUUUGAGGAAAGAGAGGGAUGAAAGUGAAACAAUAGGAAGGCAAAUUCAGAUUUUAUAGGGAAGAAGAAAGUUUUAAAUAAUUACAGGUUCAAAUCUAAAAGUAAAACCCUAAAAGGAGUCUGUCCACAUGCAUAUUUGGCUUUCUAAAACUUUAUAAAUGGAAUUUUAUGAGAUGGUAUUUGGUUGUAUAGUUUCAAUGGGGCUAUGCAUUAGCCUGCUGAGUGUUAAAGCUAGAGCUUCAAGCUAUUGAUGGGACACGACAAAAUACAUCAUUUUCUUAGUCAUCCUUGGUCAAGUUCAAACCACAUUAAUUGUACAAUUCUAAUGAUAUUGUAAUUAAAUAUUACAGAAUAGUUGCGGAAUUUGAGUCGUCAGUCGUUAACUUUAUACAACUGUUCGACCGUCAUACUAAUGAUUUCAUAAACAGUUGGAUAGAUUUGAAUAAGGUUUUUUUAGCCAAAAUGAUCUCUGAGAUUUGCAUAACACAUCACUUUGGUCCUUAAGAUUAAAAAUCAAUAGAAAUGGUCAUUGAGAUUGUUCACCAUCCAUUAUUUUGAUCAUUCCGUUAAAAACUCCGUUAAGUAUUCCGGAGCUCGCCGGAAGUUUGAGCAAUUUUCAAAACUUCAUAACUCAAUCGCUUCUUAAUCAAAUUUGACCCAUAAUAUAUCAAAAUGAAGAUAGUAAAGUGUAGAACAAGAUUAUAUCCAUUUGGAAGCCCAAUGGUUGCCGGAGAUGGCCGGAAAAUAGUCUGAAAGGUAAUUGGUUCGCCGGAAAACUAGAAUAGGUAAAUUUAAACAUUCAUAACUUCUUCAAUACUCAAUGAAAUCGAGUGAUUCAAAAAUUAAAAUCAUACCCCUCGAUGAGAAGAAUAGAAUGGCACCUUUCUUGAUGGCUAAAUUUCCAUGAUUUGGUCGGAAAACGGCUUGAAAGUGGCUGUCUUGGUCUCGAGUUAGCCACUUUCGAGCCGUUUUUCGACCAAAACACGGCUAAUUAGCCGUCAAGAAAGGUAUCAUUCUCUUCAUCUCAUCGAGAAAUAUGAUUUUUGUUUUUGAAUCACUCGAUUUAGUUGAGUAUUGAAGAAGUUACGAACGUUUAAAGUUUGCCUAAUUUCCAGCGAGUUUUCCAAUUUUCCCGCGGACCAGUCACCUUUCAGGUUAUUUUUCGGACAUCUCCAUCAACCAUUAAGCUUCCAAAUAAGUAUAAUCUUGUUGUACACUUUCCUAUCUUCAUUUUUAUAUAUAUUAUGGAUCGAAUUUGGUUAAGAAACGAUUGAGUUACGAAGUUUUGAAAAUUGCCCAAACUUCCGAUCAAGAGCUCCGGACACUAAUGGAGUUUUUAAUGGAAUGACCAAAAUAAUGGAUGGUGGAUAAUUUUAGGGGUUUCUAUUGAUUUUCAAUCUCAAGGACUAAAGUGAUAUGUUAUGCAAAUCUCAAUGACUAUUUUGGCUAAAAAAAAACCUUUGAAUAAUUAGGUAUAAACUAAGGAAAGAGAAGAUUAGUGAGCUUCUCGAUAGUGAAAUGUAAUAGGGUUUCUUUUCUUCAGGGGAUAGCUAGCUUCGUUUCGUUUGUGUUUGUUGUCCAUCUGGAUUCGACCCCUUCUUAUACAAGAAACGUGAUUGACUGGACAAAAUAUAUUUACGCAGAUACAGAACUGCAAAAAUACAAAACCAGAUGUGGAAAAUGGCGUCUUCUGCGUUGGGCUGCAUUGAAGCGUGAUUCAAAGUAUUCAACUUUGUAUGACAUUGACAGUGUGUGUGUGUGGUUGAAAUAUAAUGAUGCCUCAUCCAAGCACCAACAAAUGCGUUCGUUCUUUUGAACGUGGUACUAUUUGUUUUGAUAAAAAAUUAUCACUCGCCUAGCCAACUAAUAAAUGAAAAUACGUGCAACCAUACCCUCUAGACCACUUAAUUGUAAUUAGGGUAUUUUUAUUAUACAAAUAUUAUAAACUGAAAUCACUAGCUUUCUUUCUUAGUCAUCGUUUAAAGAUCAACUUUGUAAAAACUCAAUCAAAUUAAUUAGAGAUUGUUAAGUCACUCAUAUGUUUCAAACAACUCUCAGUUUUGGUAACAAUUAGCAUCCUCGUGCUAAACCAAGCAUGUAUUUGAUACAUAUCAUUGGCAGUAUCAUCUCCAAUUUGAAUGAUUUUGAAAGGAUGAUAUGUGAAUGAUAAUUAAGAAAAUGAAUGUUUUCAAUUAUGAUAUUUUUACUAUGAAUUACGUAAACCACAAUUGAGUGGACAAGCAUGUGGCCCAUGGUGUGAACACAAGUAUUGUCCUAACAAUAAAAGAAUAAUUCUUAGGUGCACACCAUUGUACUUCUCAUUAUCUACUUGGUUGUGAUUACACAAUUUUCAGGGUGCACGUGUCACAAACAAAAUUGUUCAUUUUUUUAAUCACAGCCUAAAGAUUAUCAAUGCAAAAGCAUCAAUAAAAUUGGAAGUCCUUUAAUCAUCGUGAUAAUCUGGACGAAUAAUCAAAUUAUCACUAUAUUUAUUCUUUCUUCUAUUUCUUCCAUGUGUAGAAUAACCCUUUUUUUCCUACCAAUUGGGACCCUCCCUUCACCAGCAUAUAAUUCUUGCAUAUCCACCAUUUGAAUCUCCAAUAAUUACAUAUCCAAUUUGACCUAUUUUCAAAAACCUCGAUUUGUUUUAUACAUAAUUUUGAAACUAGCUGGAUUGUAGAAAAAGUGAUGAAAAGAAGAAAGAAUUAAGUGACAUGGGGGGGUUUCAAAGUGGGGGAGGUGGCCAAUGGAGAGGAGAGGGGGACCAUAUAUGGGGUGCUUAAAGUUUUGAAUAGAUGCAAAGGCCAGGUAUAUUUGAUAUCACACAUCAGAACAUGAGAGAAUCGAUUAUUUGAGGAUAAUUUUUUUCCAAAUUUAGUCGAAUUGCUCUCUAUCGUGGGAGGGAGAUGCCCGUCAUCAUACCUAUUUCUGGAUCAUGUAAAAAAAGCUUGGAGUAAAAAGAUAACUAGCAACAACUCAUCAUGUGAGAUAGACUUGAUCUUGAUAUAUAUCGAUACAAGGCACGCGUGUUUAUGUGGUGACCCUUGUUGGGGUGGGGGUACCCUAGGCUGGAGCUGUGGAUCUGUGGUUGAGAAUAUGAGAGAGUACUAUGGACGUACUGUCCAAAUGAUCUGUAAUUAUUGACGUUAAAUCACCUAUUGUGUAGAUUUUAGAUAGACAAAUCACUUAAUUCAACGCAAUUCCUUUACAAUUAGACAGCCUAGCGUGUCCGCAUGCAAUUUAUAAAAAAGCUUCGGUGUUACUAGUAGUGGAAUGUACUUGGAAUGUGUGGGUUGAGGGUGACAAUUGACGCAGAGCAUAAACAUAAGUUACAGAUGGAAUGGAACAUAUGAUACAUUUACGACCUAUUUGUAAAGGUUAAGUUCAAUGAGAGAGAAAAUUGGAGAAUUCAGGAAUAAGGAAUAAGGAAUAAGGAAUAAGGAAUAAGGAAAGUAAGCAAUGGGAAUCGAAUCAACUAGUCGUCCCACCCUCUAGCUAAUCUCAUUUUUUACUUAUAGAUUAUGAAUUUCAAGAUUUAUUUACGCUUUUUCGGCUUUAUAUAUUUUAGUGAACCCGGAGAAAAUUAAAAUAAUUUUAAUUUGUAUUCUCAGUAAGUAAAUAUGUUGUAAAUUACAAUAUCUUAAUCUUAAAUCUUAAAAGAGAGAAGAUUUUAAUUAAAUUUCAGAUGUCGCAACCACUUAUGUAUUUUAGAAAUAUAAAUAGUAUAUUUGUUCCAAGUCAGGGUUGAAAAAUGAGGAAAGGUGUGGGUGGUAUUUGCUGUGUCAUUUGUAUAUUUUAGUUUUAUGAAUUUGGUCGUCGUUGGGAUUCUUCAACUGCUGCGCGGUUGAGCCGGCCUGCCGUUUGGACCGAGUUAAUAAUAUUUGGGCUUGUUGUGUGUUGUUCCGGAAAGAGUGGAUUAAAUUAAAAAUAAAAAUUAACAUCAUUUGGGCCUAAGAAAGUCUAUCCUCAGUCCGUAUUAUCAAGAGAUUUUUCAGUAUGACUGUCACAUGAAGUGGUACACCACAUGUCCUUAUAUAAAUGAUGGAUUAUAUGUGUUAAAAGGUUAAUAACUUAAAAAUUAAAAAUUUUCACCAUUUGCAUAAAAAUACGUGGUGUACAAUCCGUAUUCCCGUCACCACUAAAAAUUUCUCCAUAUUAUCAAGGAACUAAGACACAAAAUCUCGAAGGCAAUAAUAAUGCUUGUAACUACUUGUAAGCUACCUUGCACCUAAGAAUUUAUAUUCAUUAUAUUCAUAAUAUGAUCGGUGUAAUGAGAACCGAACAAAGAACCUAGAUGUAGUCGUAAAUACUCUAAACCACGUGCAAACCUCUUAGCCACCCAGAGUUAAUAACAAGGUGAUAUAGUUCUUGUAUAAUCCCAUGAUUAUGUCAUUGUUAGUGAAAUAAAUUUCAUACAACUUUAAAUUUAUGGCUUGUCAUUCCAUAAUCAUAUGGCAUUCGCCUAUCACUUUCCUCCAUGAACUAAGAUUUUCACGUAAAUCGACCUCCAUUAAUUUUUACCUAAGGAGAACACCAAAAACACUGCCCGCCUACCGAUUUGGGUUACUAAUAAUAUUGAAGUACACGUUUCUUAAGAGCAAAAUAUUUGUUUUAGUACUCGCACCGUUGUACGUAGGCAUGGUAUAAGAAGAAAGACUAAAAGUUUACUUAUAUACAUAGUAACACCGAAUUGGUUUAUACUGUUCGACAAAAGAAAAUUCUGACACACUUGAACUUAAAUGCAAGAAAAAGAACACAUUAUUCUGACAUAUUGACCCAAAUCACAUUGGCAACAAUAUAAUACAAUGAAUAUAUGUUGGAUGAAAUCAAGGUCUAAACAAGUUAAGGUCAGUAACAGGCCAUUUGUGAUGUACCUUCAAAAGAAUUUGGACGAGGAUGUUGACAGUCUCAUUUUUACCCUUAUAUGAUGGCAAAGUUAUCGUUCAAUAUCUAAACCCUAAACCCUCUUCUGCUUCCACCAUUUAAGAAAUAAAAGUUUGGCAUAGAAUGUAUGGAUCCUAAUUCAAAGUCAAAGAUUAGCUACUCUACAAAAUACACAUUAAGUCAAGAAUCAAAGGCUUAUUUGGUGAAGAUUGACUUUUAAACGAUACUUAGUACAACUGUAAUCUAAUCAGCAUGCUAUUCUAGCUAGGGUUGAAAAUCAAAAGGCAGGAGAUGCCAAUUAACUUGACAAGCAAGGAAUGCAUAUAUGCAUGACAUAUUGUUAUAAGUUGGGAUUUCGAGGGGGAUGGGGGGUUGUCAAUGAGUCGGUAUGGUUUACCAAUGAGAGAUUUUUCAGUGUGUUUGAAAGGUAGAACACCACCUUGUUAUUAUACAAUUGGAGGAAUUUUUUGUCUUCAAAGUGUUCCUCCAAUUGUUUAAGACAUGUGGUGUUCCACUCUGUGUUUCGGACACACUGAAAAAUCGCUUGUUAUCGACAUAAAUUUGGAAUAUCGAGAGCUCUGAUAAAUAAAUGAAGCUCUCCAAAUUUAGAAAGUUUGGAGUCAACAUUUGUAACGACUCUUUAGAUUGUGAGCACUCCAAUUAAGGUGAGUCUUUAUAUUUGGUUUUACAACCUUUUAUUGAAUGGAGUUGAAGUGGAAACCCUAUAUAUGCCAUUUGUGGUAACAUCAUCAUUAUCCAUAAUGGGAAGAUAUAUGUUCCCAUCAAGAACAAAAAUUGAAAACAAACAAAGCUAAUUACACCAAAUCAAAUACCAAAUUUACAUAAUUCAAAACCAAACCGGUUAUAUGGUCUCACACAUGCGAUACCACACACACCAGGACAAUGAACCUGCUUUAUUUUCACUGAUCAAGUUUGAAUUUUCUUCUUUGUAAAUUAAAGUAGGUUUAGAAUUUCAUCUUGCUAAAAAACACCAGUGUAUGGUCCCACGUACUGGACGCGGAUAUAUUUAAACUUUUUUUUGGGAUAAAAAAAGGAUAUAGAAGUUGGGAUACAAAGUCAACUUAUAACUGAAAUGAAAAUCUGUAGUAUAGCUAAUUUGCUUUUGGACUGAAGUUUCUAUAAACUCGAUUGGUCUGUCUCUAAAGGCAUGCAAAGCCGCAAGUUUCUGUGUAGACAAACGACUCGAAGUUUGGAAGAUGGAACUCAUAGACAAUCUCUGUGAUUUGGAGACUAGUCUUGGCACCAAUAUUCAUCAUGAAAUCAUGGCCCUCUCGGGCAAUGACACCUCCCUUACUACCGAUGAUUAUCAUCAGCCACAACCUGAUGAUCAUCAGCUCCCUAUCAACUUCACUCAACACAUUCAAAGCUUUUCUCAAAUUUCUGAUGAUCCAAAUCAUGACGAUAUCUUAGUUGCUCAUUCCACAGCUCAUCUCAUGAAUGGAGAUUUUCGCCAAGAAACCGGAAAAGGAAAGGCACGUGCGUAUUAUUGCAUACAAAAUUAUAUAGUUGCUUGUUAGAGAGCUAGCUAGCUUAUAUAUAUGUCGUCUGGUUAAUUGACCAUGGGAUUGAUCAUGCAUUUAUGCUUAAUUUCUGGCUAGAUUGAUUUUCUGAGAUUCGUUUUCCUUUGUUAUUGAAAUGCGCGAUUGGUGAUUCUUGACAGUCGUUAGGAGGAAGAAAGAGAAAGAAUAGUGAAAAGGAUGGAGAGAAACUAAAAGAAGUAAUUCAUGUGAGAGCUAAGAGAGGCCAAGCUACCGAUAGCCACAGUUUGGCAGAAAGGGUAUAAAUAUAUCACUUCUUUUUAAAUUGCAUUAUGUUACCAGUAUGUGGUUUAGAACUAAUAAUUAUCUUGUUAGUUUUCAAGGCCAGAUUUUGAAGCACAUUUAGCUUAAUUAUCUUGCCUUAAUUAAAUAGCUAAAACCCAUAAUAUUCUGAUAACUAUACUAUUUAUAAGUACGUGAAAUUAUAUAUUGACGGGAUGCUGGUCUCACGCAUUUGCUUAACAUGCAUGGUAUUAUUAGCUAAGAAGAGAGAAAAUAAACGAGAGGCUGAGAUGCCUGCAAAAUCUGGUUCCAGGCUGCUACAAGGUAUGCAUAAUUUGAUUAACUUCUUGUCGCUUAAUUUGAAUAAUCUACGAAAGAAAUGAAUGAUUAUUUUCUUUCUAAAAUUUAACUGAUAUCGUUGCUCUUUUUUUUAUGGUUGAAUUAAUUUGCAGACAAUGGGAAUGGCAGUAAUGCUGGAUGUGGUUUGCAGUUACGUUCAGUCACUGCAGAACCAAAUUGAGGUGAGUCACAUCUUAAAUAAUUAAUCAUAUCAUAUCAUGGAGAUUUCUUACAUAAUCAUCGAUCAGUGAUCAUAUAUGUCCAAUAGAAUAUUAACAAAGUGCUUUGUAUUGGUGGUUUCCAAGUUUCUGUCAAUGAAACUUUCUGCAGCAAGUGCGUAUUAUGAUUUCAAUACACCAGGUGUGGAUGCUGUGGACGCAAUGCAACAGCAGCAGGUAUGCAUAUACACGCUUACGCAAAUAUAUAUAUGUGUGUGUGUGUGUGUGUGUGUAUCCACAUUAAAAUAUGAAUUUGUAUAGACUAUAAUCAAUAUACGGAAAUGUUUUUGAGAUUCAUUCUUUCUUCUCAUGCUCUAUUUACUUUUUAUUUUCUAAUCGAAAAAAAAAAACAAAGGAGAAUUCAUGAAAUUAAAUAAAUAGGAGUGUGCGUUGUUAAUGAGCUUUUAAAAGAUGAAGGUGAUAAAAGCGAGCAAUGUGGAAUGUUGCAGGGGACAAGUACUGCAUAUCCGGAGGUACAAGAGAUGGUAGUAAGAUCAGAAGGGUAUGGAGGACUUCCUCACUACAACAACGCAACAUGGCCUAUUUGAGAAGUGAGAGUACGCUCAAUCUUCUUCAGAUCCCAUGCUCCUAAACCCUACAUGUACACGUGGAGACAAUGAAGCACAAGACGACGACCAAUACCAUCUUCUCUAGCUUCCAUGGAUCCCAUAAUAUAUACAAUAAAAUAUUCUUUUUCAUGCUUAUAUAUUUUUGUAGGGUGCAAAUGAAUCUUGUACUAUAUAAAUGAACCAAAAAUAAUAAGAUGGGAAAGGCUGAGACAGAUCAAAGUGGUAGUUAUAUAGAUCAUGCAUGAUUUGAAGACAGCUUCACAGAUAAUAACUUGAUUUGAAAGAGUCAUCUGUCAUGUGGAUACAUAUGUGGGUUUCUAAGCUUACCCUUAAGAUUAAGGGCACUGAUGUCCCAACGCGGUUUUGAGUGCUGAAAGAGAGGCAACCUGAGACUGGCGUAUAGUAUAGUAGAGUAGACCAUUGUCUAUGAAUCCCCUAAUUGGCCACUGAAGUAAACAAGGGGACAUUACCUAAACUUAGAUCGUUGGGAUCAUGCAUGAUUCACAUGGAAUGAGUUCACAAUUAUGUGGCGUUCCUUGUCCAAUAAUAAAUUACUUAGUGUUAAUUUUUCUCCACGUAGAAAUGUAUUAUUGAAUCAAGACGUUACGUGACAGUGAACCCGUUCCAUGUAAGUUGCUCUCCCGAAAAGGGCAGGUUUUAGAGACUCUAGACUCUAGUUAUAGUUGAGGUGGGUGGAAAAAACUUGUAUGAGUGUCCCGAUUAUAUCAUUCGUGGAGCACUUCUACAAAUAACGAAUUAAACUUACUACUCACACACAAAAUAAAUUUAAUAAUUAUUAUUCAUUCUUUUCUUGUUCCAUAUAUUUGGAUCCAAUCUCAACUAUGGCCCAAAUUCACUUCAAGAAGUAUAGACCAAUGGGCCGCAAAACUUUUUUCAUGCCAGACUAAACCUCCCAAGGCAACCCCCGGGACCUCAAAGUCGGGACCUAAUUUGUAGGGGUUUCUUAAUAUGCAAAGACUUGGCCUUGUUGGACUUGGCAGAGUGAGUGAGUUCCUUGAUGUGGAGCUCAGAGCCAGGGAUUAAGAACUUGAUCAAUACGGUGUCGUUAAUAACUCCUUUUUUCAAUCUUUAGAUUUUUUUUAAACUAACUGAGUUGUUGUGCUUCAAUAUUUGAUCAGGUUGUCAUGAACUUGUGGAAAGGUUUGGCAUUAGCGCUGAUGCAGUUGCCCGCAUUGGGGAGGCAUUAGCAUUGUCCGAUUUGUGGCUCAAAUUCCUCGCACCUCUCAGAGGCUUCUGUAAUUACGUCUGGAUAUCUUUAAGAUUUUAUUUUUCUACCACGAUAUGGAUAUGCGUGUUUGUAUCUGCUAACAUGGUACGUGCAACUAGAGUGGAGAUAAGGUCAUCUUCAACCGAUCCGGUCAAAAAGUUAUAGGUUAAAAAUAGUUUUGAAUGACACGAAAACUAUUUCCGACCGAAGGCUAGGCCAAAGGGCUUAUGGGCUAUACCGGGCCCAAACCCUCAAAUCAAGCCAACGGGCUGGCCAUUUCAAGCUAGCCAGCCCUCCAACUCAACCCAUUUGAAUGCCAACGGCUAGCUAACAUCAUGCUGCCGUCAGUCUACCGUUGAAAUUUGAAUUUUUUUUUUGGACGAAUUUAAAAAAAAAAAACUUCUAAUUUUUUUUCCUAUAAAUACCUACACCAUUCCUACAACAUUGAAAGCUGAAAAUAAGAAGUGUCACGUAGAUAAGAAUCCUAUCUAAAAUUCGCACAACCAAUUACAUCUCAACAUGUGACACUUGAAAUCAUAUCCGAAAAAAUUAUUAAGAUUACAUAAAGAUAAGAAAUCUGGAGAGUUACUCAUGUUAGCAACACGUGUCACUCGAAAUCCUAUAAAAAAAAUUGAGAUUACAUAAAGAUAAGAAAUCCAGAGGCUUAUUCAUUUGGCGACAAGUGGCACUCAAAAUAUGUCUGAAAAUCUUAUUUUAAUAUGGUGGUUUAAUUUAAUUAACCAUAUUAAUUUAAUUAAAAUAAUAAAUUAUGUUUGGCUUAUAGCCCAAACAUUCUCGGUUGUAGACGGUUUUUUGUCAAAUAGCUAUGUUUAGCCUAUGACCCUUUGAUCUAUUCGGUUGGAGAUGGUAUAAAAUAUGUUUAGCACUGUUUAUUAAAUAUAAUUUCUUGCAAGACUACAUGGUUAAAGGGAGUCUUUCAGCCCUCCUUCGAUUGGAGAUGACCUUUGUCAUACACGUCAGGUUCCGUGGCUCCUCAGCUGCUCGCUUCUUGGCAUGGGCCAUUGUGGGUCUUGAAGCAUCUUGACGGGCUCCACAUAAAUCGUAACAAACACGUUACAGGCAUUGGGCCACUGUGACUCUGAACUGCGAGUAUGGGAUCUGAGCCCAUUCGGUGGCUAGGACUGGGCAAGAUUGGAAUUGUGACCCACUAGGUCGAGCCUCCGAAGAAGGUAGUUGGAUUACUAGGACACCACGUGUGUGCUUCUAGUUUUGACUCUUGGUUAGGACUUGCUAGGAGUAGGCAUGCGGGAAUGACUAGUCAUCUCAUUACCGCUCUGUCUUGACUUUAAAUGAACACCAAGGCAGGCACGGACGAAUGUGAUUUGCCUUGCCUGCAAAGAGAGAGAGAGAGAGAGAGAGAGAGAUGGAGGAGCAGGGAAAGAAUGAGGAGAGGAAGAAGGUGAUGGUGGCGAUCGACGAGAGCGAGUUUAGCCUAUACGCCUUCAAUUGGGCGCUCGAAAAUCUGCGCGAGACCAUCCAGAGUUCGCAGCUAGUCGUCUUCACUGCACAGCCCAUUGACUUCGCUUCCACUUAUGCUGCCAGUUACGGAGCUGCCCGUAGGGUCUCUAAAUCUUAAUCUCACUACCUCUUUUGUUGAAGUUACCGGUUUGUAAUUGUAUGCUUGAUCAAGCUGUUGUUUUCUGAUUUUUCUCUAUACAUUGUGCAGCUGCUCAGUUGGUAACAUCUUUGCUUGAAAACCACAAGAAGGUGGCGCUGGCUUUGUUGGAGAGAGCUAAAGAAAUUUGUGCCAAACAUGGGGUACAAAUACAAUCAAAGUUCCUUUCUUUUCCUUCCUAAAACUACAUCUGAUUUUGCGAAAAAUUCCUCGUUUUCGACUGUGCAGAUUGUUCCAGAGACAGUGACAGAGGUAGGCGAUCCGAAGGUGGUGAUAUGUGAAGCAGUCGAGAAACACAACAUCCAGUUGCUUGUGUUAGGCAGCCACGGUCGCGGAGGUAUCCAAAGGUAUGUGCGUUCUUAUUCAGUUUGGAGUGUAGAUGGCUUAAAACCUAGUGCGAAAAUCGCUUUCUGAUUGAUAUGUUCUGUUGGGACAGGGCUUUUUUGGGAAGCGUAAGCAAUUACUGCGUACAUAACGCUAAGUGUCCUGUUCUUGUUGUGAGGAAACAGAACUGAACGCUUAUAUGUUCUCUUGUUCUUCAAGUUAAUAUCCAAAACCCAAACUUGCAUCUUCCGCAAGAAAAUGUUGCGUGCUGCUUGAUAAUUUUUGAAAUUAGAGUCAUGUAAUAACUGGAAACUUCAUGAUUGAAUAAAGCAUGCAUUUUAUGGUUUGAUUAAGUGACACGUGUUGGCCCAUAUCAAUAAUUCAUAUCUCGAUUGUAGACUGUACUUAGAUUGAAAGCAUCAUUCUGGAACUUUUCAUUAUGCGUUACACUAGUGAUACAAGUAAUAUUGUCCAACAGUUAACUGGUAUUGCCCCACGUCUUCCAUCAAAUCCAUCCAAUUUUCAAAUUCAGAUUCGUGAAAUUUAAUUUAACGAUUAAAAUUAUUAUAAUUUUUAAAGAGAUUUCCUGUUUAUAGUCGUUUGAUCAAAUUUUAAAAACUUAAAUUUACGAAUUAGGUUGAUUUAGUGCAAGGAAUCCGAAAAAAAUAUCUUUCCGAAAAUGAUAGUGGCCCAUUCAAUAAAAUAAUGCAUUGAUAAUACCCCCAAGAAGAUAAACAUAGCACGUCAGAAACUUGUUUCAUAAUUCCGGAAAUGUGACACGUAGUGAUCGGACUUUGUGGGGCGGCUCACUAGAAAGUUUUCACGUUGUCACGAUUAAGGCCAAUUUAGUCAAGGAGAAAUUCAAAUUAAGCGACUUAUUUUAGAACUUUUGAGACUAAAUAUUUAUGCCUUUUUUUUAAUUUUUAAUUAAGCUUUUCAAGCUUUUAAUUAAGGUGCUUUGACUUGAGUUCACAUGAGCAUUAAUUUAUUUAUUUACAUAUCAGCAUUUAAUAUAUAUUAAAUAUUUUUUUUAUUAAUGUGCUUUCACCUGUAUUUUAUUUUCAUUUUUUUAUAAACGAACAAUAUUAUUUACAUUAAAGAGUUGAAGGAGUAGAUCAAGAAUUACAAUGAGUUUUGUAAUAAUAUGGUUCAAAUUCGUCCUCGAUGAAAAUCGAACUUUAAGACAUUUUACUUACAAGUGAAGAAAAAUACUAGUAGAUCGUAGUAUUAAGUGACUAUUCUUCUUGUUUUUAAAUCUCAUCGCUUGCUUAAUUUAAGGAACUCCUAUUAUCUUAACGAAUAAUACUUGGUUACUAAAAAAUGAGUAGGAAUUCCUACUUAAAAUUCUUAAUGUUUUAAUCACUGAGUUUUGUACUUAUGAUCAGAACCGUUCAUACUAUGAAUCACACUAUAAAGAUCAUCUCUGGAAAAAAUAAAUUAAAAACAAGGUCGUUUAGUUAAUCUAUGUAGCAAAUACAUAGACGGUUCGUAAUGCUUUUACCAAUGUCAUUCAUUUGUUUUAAACAAUUUGGUGAUUAAACGACCUUAAUUUUAAUUGAUUUUUUGUAGAUGUGAUCUUUAUAUGAUGAUUUAUAAUAUGAACAGCUCUGAUUAUAAACACGAAAUUCUAUAAAUUGUCAACAAAUAAUUUUGAGAAAUUUUGAGUAUGAGUUCCUACUCAUCUUUGAGUAGCCAAAUAUUAUUCCAUCGUAACUAUUAGAAAGUUUUUUUUUAAAUCAAAAUUAAUUGGUUAAUUUAAUACAGCUCUACAAUCAUUUUCAGAACCUAAUUUCCAGGUCAUCAAAUUUUUCUGUUUUUUUUUCACUCUCCAACGUACCCAGUAAAAUCUGUGUUUCAACUUUAAAUUGUAUGCACGCUACAUGGAAAUGUACCAAUAUGGAAAACGAAUUAGAAUUACAUAAUGUAUCUAACGAUUUGGUACAUAACUACGUAUUAGUAGUUUUGUAUGUAUCCGAAUUACACAACGUACCAAUGAUUUGCAUGUACCAAAAUGAGCAUUUCAAAUAUAGAUUCUAGUAAACUCGGGCACUUACAAUAAGGGCAUCUUCAAACAACAAAGUUACAAUUAAAAAGCUAAAAAAUUUACUAAACAAACACUUAUAUAUUAGUCUAUAAAGUUUUUCAUACAAAACGCUUAAAAUCAUUGUUGGUGAAGUCAGUCAUGUUGAUACUAAGAGAAAUGCUAAGGAGACUCUUUCAAAGUGAGACUCUUUAUGGACUUUCCCCCACUUAAUGUUUUUGGCGCAAUGUUUAAUAAUGUUGGUACGAGGAUUGUGCUAAAAACAUGAGGUGACGGAAAAUCCAUGGAGAAGUCUAAUUUUGGAAGAGUCUCCUUAGCAUUUCUCUUGAUACCAAUUAGCAUAUAGGGUUUAAUUUUUAUUUUAAUUAGGGUUGGUCAUUGAGAUGCAAAAUUGUACAAUUUUUCUGCACCCAACAAAAAAUUUGAGUGGAGGCACCCACCCCCUCUAGGCCUAUAGUGGCUCCGUCUUUGCGCACCUAUAUCAAAAUGUUUUAUUGUUUAACAAGUUGCUUGUAAUUCUGCUAGUUAAGAACAUUUAUUUUUACAUUUAGAAGUUUGUGUUGUUUCUCCUUUUCAUAAUUAGAUAAAUUUAGUGUUGUUUCUGUUGAUUUUUUUUAAUAUCAUUCAAAUAAAAAAUAAAUAAAUGGAAUUAGAAGCACUGGCAAAACGUAAACUUGACGAAUUUAUGAAUGAUAAUCCUCUCCGAAUUCUCUCGAUAAUUCUUUAAUCACGUUCGUUCAUCGUAUAUCGUGCAAUCAGAAAUUAUUGUAAAUUUUUUAUGUAAAAUUGAAUAAAAAAAUUACCUGAUAAAAACUAAUCGUACGAUACGAUGAACGACAUAAUCGGAGAAGAUUUUCAUUCGAUGAAAAAAGAGCAAAGUUAUCUAAAUCCUCUUAUAUGUGGGGUCGGACUAGGUGUUUGACUGGCGGUUGUGACCUGAGAAAACCCAUCCUCUGUUUCUUCAACUACCAUUUUGACAAAAUCCAUCCCAAAAACCCGAUAAAUAGAGAUACAACUGCCCCUGGUUUUGCCAACAAAAAAGCGAAGGAAAAAAAUGGGAGAGGCGAUUCCGAGAGGAGAAGAAAGAAUGGGAGAAGUGGUUGCAAAGGGAGCCGAGAAGAAGGUGAUGGUGGCCAUUGACGAGAGCGAGUGCAGUCAUUACGCUCUCAUGUGGGUUCUCGACAACCUCAAAGACUCCAUAACCAACUCGCCCUUGAUCAUCUUCAUGGCUCAGACUCCCUCCAACGGCAACAUCACCUUCUCGGCGUCGCUCGGCGCUGCUCGCAUGUACUGUCCUAUGUCUUCCAGUUA
rnacentral:lncRNA from 1 species